rnacentral:rRNA from 1 species
UAUAUAAAGUCUGACCUGCCCACUGAAAAUUUUAAAUGGCUGCAGUAAUUUGACUGUACAAAGGUAGCAUAAUCAUUAGUUUUUUAAUUAAAAGCUUGUAUGAAAGGUUGGACGAAGUAAAAUCUGUCUCUUUUUAAUAUAAUUAGAAUUUAAUUUUUAAGUAAAAAAGCUUAAAUUUUUAUAAAAGACGAGAAGACCCUAUAGAGUUUAAUAAUUUUAAUAAAAUAUUUAAUCAAGAUUUAUUAAUUUUAUUUAAUUAAAAUUAUUUUAUUGGGGUAAUAAAAAGAUUAAAAAAAUUCUUUUUUUUUAAUACAUUAAUUUAUGAAUAUAUGAUCCAUUUGUAGUGAUUAAAAGAUUAAAUUACCUUAGGGAUAACAGCGUAAUUUUUUUAAAGAGUUCUUAUCGAUAAAAAAGUUUGCGACCUCGAUGUUGGAUUAAAGAUUAAUUUAGGUGUAGAAGUUUAAAUUUUUGGUCUGUUCGACCAUUAAAUCUUUACAUGAUCUGAGUUCAAACCGGUGUAAGCCAGGUUGGUUUCUAUCUUUAUUAAUUUUUUAUAUUUUAGUACGAAAGGACCAAAUAUAAAAUAUAUAAAUAUUUUUAUUUUGAAUAUUAUU